rnacentral:rRNA from 1 species
AUUGAACGCUGGCGGCAUGCUUUACACAUGCAAGUCGAACGGCAGCACGGGUGCUUGCACCUGGUGGCGAGUGGCGAACGGGUGAGUAAUGCGUCGGAACGUGCCCAUGAGUGGGGGAUAGCCCGGCGAAAGCCGGAUUAAUACCGCAUACGCCCUUAGGGGGAAAGCGGGGGAUCUUCGGACCUCGCGCUAUUGGAGCGGCCGAUGUCGGAUUAGCUAGUAGGUGAGGUAAAGGCUCACCUAGGCGACGAUCCGUAGCUGGUCUGAGAGGAUGAUCAGCCACACUGGGACUGAGACACGGCCCAGACUCCUACGGGAGGCAGCAGUGGGGAAUUUUGGACAAUGGGCGCAAGCCUGAUCCAGCCAUGCCGCGUGAGUGAAGAAGGCC